ACGGCCAUAUUACAUUGAAAGAAUCGGUUUUAAUCCGAUCAAUGAAGUUAAGCAAUAUCGGGCCCGGUCAGUACUUGGGAGGAUGACCACUUAGGAACUGUACACUAUUCCUUU